CCUACGGGAUGCUGCAGUGAGGAAUAUUGGUCAAUGGGCUUACGCCUGAACCAGCCAAGUCGCGUGAGGGAAGACUGCCCUAUGGGUUGUAAACCUCUUUUGUCAGGGAGCAACGCCGGCUACGUGUAGCCGGACUGAGAGUACCUGAAGAAAAAGCAUCGGCUAACUCCGUGCCAGCAGCCGCGUUAAUACGGAGGAUGCGAGCGUUAUCCGGAUUUAUUGGGUUUAAAGGGUGCGUAGGCGGAAUGCCAAGUCAGCGGUAAAAGCGCGGGGCUCAACCUCGCUCCGCCGUUGAAACUGGCGUUCUUGAGUGGGCGAGAAGUAUGCGGAAUGCGUGGGGUAGCGGUGAAAUGCAUAGAUAUCACGAAGAACUCCGAUUGCGAAGGCAGCAUACCGGCGCCCAACUGACGCUGAAGCACGAAAGCGUGGGUAUCGAACAGGAUUAGAUACCCUUGUAGUC
rnacentral:rRNA from 1 species